CCACUCUUCCUUACUUUUUGUGUUCAUUCUUUUGACUUCAUUCUUUAACUUUUUCUCAUAUCUUGUUUCCUUCUCUUCUUAUCUUCCUUUCUUUUUUGUGUUCAUCCUUUUAACUUCAUUCCUUAUCUCUUUCUCAUACCUCGUUUACCUCUCCUCUCUUCCUUUAUUCCUUUAUUUUUGUGUUCAUCCUUUUAACUUCAUUCCUUAUCUCUUUCUCAUACCUCGCUUACCCCUCCUCACUUCCUUUAUUCCUUUCUUUUUGUGUUCAUCCUUUUAACUUCAUUCCUAAACUCUUUGUCACAACUUGUUUCCUUUUCCUCUUUUCUUAUAUUCCUUUCUUUUUGUGUUCAUCCUUUUAACUUCAUUCCUAAAUUCUUUGUCAUAUCUUGUUUCCUUUUCCUCUUUUCUUAUAUUCCUUUCUUUUUGUGUUCAUCCUUUUAACUUCAUUCCUAAACUCUUUGUCACAACUUGUUUCCUUUUCCUCUUUUCUUAUAUUCCUUUCUUUUUGUGUUCAUCCUUUUAACUUCAUUCCUAAACUCUUUGUCAUAUCUUGUUUCCUUUUCCUCUUUUCUUAUAUUCCUUUCUUUUUGUGUUCAUUCUUUUAACUUCAUUCCUAAACCCUUCCUCUUUUCCUGGUUUCUCUUCCUCCUCUCCUCUUUUCUUUCUGUUCUGUUCCUCUUUUACUCAUUCCUUCACCCUCUAUUCUUUUUUUUUCUAUUUUUCCCUCCUUUUUUUUCUGCGCUUAUCCUUUUAUUCUCAUUCCUACUCCCUCUCUCUUUCUAUUUUCUCUUUCUUUUCUUUCUCUACUCACCCUUUUAACUGCAUUCCCAAACCGUCUCUUUUUUCCUAUUUUUCUCUUCUUCCUCUUUCUUUAUUUUCUUACUUUUAUCAUCGUUCUUACACCCCCCUUUUUCAAUUUCCCUUUCUCCCUUUCUCUCUUUGUUCAUCCUCUAAUCUUUAUUCCUUCACCCUCUCUCUUUUCCUUUUUUCUCAUCUUCCUCACUUUUUUUUCUCUUUGUCAUUUUAUCCUCAUCCCUCACCCCAACACCCACAUUCACUGACACUUCUUAGUUUCUUCGUUUCAUCUUUUUUAUAUUAUCUAUUUUUUUUUUCUUUAAUACACAUCCAUCCUCGGAAUUCCGCAUCAGGAAAAGAAGCGUUAACUACUAUACUGUGUCCAAGAUUGUUUUUUCCAUCAUUUUGCCCUCAAUAAGUGAAGAGCGAUUAAUUUAUUUACGACUCGUCUUUUCCUGCUUCGAGACACAAGGGCAAAGGAGACGAGAGAGAGAGAGAGAGAGAAAAACCAAAACAAACACAAAAAAAAUAGGUAUUAUAAUCAGGCCGGAAUUUCUUGUUUGAGCGAGCGAGGACGACUGGUGAAAUAAUAAUAAUAACAACAAUAAUAGUAGUAGUAGUAGUAGUAGUAGUAGUAGUAGUAGUAGUAAUGAGAUGCGGAACCGUUGGGGAAAGAAAAUAUAAAGUGAACAUCAGAUAUGCUUUUGACGUCCUCUGAUCUAUGUUUGUGAAUUCAGGUGUGUAGAGAGAAGACAGGUGUGUAUAGAGACGAGGGAGAGAGAGGUAAAGAUAGGUGCGGUUAGGGGGGGGAUGUGUGUAAGGGGAAGUGGGUGAAAGGUGUGAGUGGGGGGGGCGUUGAAAAUAGAGGAUGGAUGUAGUUGUAAGUAUGGUGUGGAGGAGUGUGAGAGUGUUUGUGAGGAAGGGGAGAGGAGAAAACAGGUGUGCAGGUGUGUUACGGGGGAGGGGAGGACAGGUGGGCUUGCAUAUGUUCGGGGAGAAGGAAAGACAGGUGAGGGUAUCUGUGUUGGGGGAGGGAGAGGGGAAGGAUGCGUGUAUGAGGGGAAGUGAGGGAGACAGGUAUGGUGUGUUUUGGGGAUAAGGGGAAGACAGGUGAGUAUGUGUGGGUGGGGAGGAAGGGGAGAGUAAGGGAGGUGAGGGGAUGUUGUGAGGAGAAAGGGAGAGACAAGAAGGGUAUGUCUGUGGGGUGAAGGGAAGAGGAAGACAGGUAUAGGGUGCUUGUGUGAGGGGGGAGUAAAGAGGGGAGAGGAAGUUAAAGGGGUAAGGAAGCGUCAAUAUCUGUGUGGGAGGGAGAGGGAAAGACAGGUAAGGGUUCGUGUGUCGAGGUGGAGGAGGGAAGUAAAAGAGGAGAGGGUGUAUGGAGGUGAGAGGGAUCGUAGGCGAGGGAGAAUAAAGAGGGGUAAGGAAGCGUCAAUACCUGUUGGGGAGGGAGAGGGAAAGACAGGUAAGGGUGUGUGUGUCGGGGUGGGGAAGGGAAGUAAAAGAGGAGAGGGUGUAUGGAGGUGAGUGGGAUCGUAGGCUAGGGAGAGUGAGGGGUAAGGAAGCUCCCAUACCUCACCUCAUUACCGGCGUUCGUGCUUACCUGAGGGAAAAGAAAGAAAAAGGUUUAGGUCUUUAGUAGAAGGGCAAGUUAUCCUCGUUGAUGUUCUCGUGUCAUUAAAAGCAAAAUAACAUAGUGAUAAGUAAAAGUGCAUAUUAAGUGAAGUCUACGGCACUUUAAAGAGAAAUAGAGGAAAAGAAGUCGUUGAUGUUCUCGUGUCAUUAAAAGCAAAAUAACACGGUGAUAAGUAAAAGCGUAUAUUAAGUGAAGUCUACGGCACUUUAGAGAGAAAAGGGGAAAAGAAGGAAAGAGAAAAAAAAGGAGAGAUGAGAGAAAAUUUAAGAGAAGAAAGACCUACCCACCUCUCGUCUUUUCUUUCUAUUCCUUCCCUUGACUUAGGUUAGGUCAAGUUAGGAUAGGGUAGGGUAAUUACUUAGUUCGGUUAUGAUAGGCUAGGAUAUCUACGUUAGUUAGGUUAGGUCAAGUUAGGAUAUCUACGUUAGUUAGGUUAGGUUAAAUUAGGAUAUCUACGUUAGUUAGGUUAGGUCAAGUUAGGAUAUCUACGUUAGUUAGGUUAGGUUAAAGUUAGGAUAUCUACGUUAGUCAGGUUAGGUUAGGGUAUCUAGUUAGGUUAGGUUAGGAUAUCAAGUUAUUUAGGUUAAGUUAGAAUAUCUUGUUAGUUAGGUUAGACUAGGUUAGGAUAUCUAGUCACUUAGGUUAGGUUAGAGUAUCUAGUUAGGUUAAGUUAGGAUAUCAAAUUAGUUAGGUUAGGUUAAGUUAGGACAUCUACGUUAGUCAGGUUAGGUUAGGGUAUCUAGUUAGGUUAGGUUAGGAUAUCAAGUCAUUUAGGUUGAGUUAGAAUAUCUUGUUAGGUUAGACGAGGUUAGGAUAUCUAGUCAGUUAGGUUAGAUUAAGUUAGUAUUGAUGGUUAGGCAUCUAGUGAACCAAAAUACCUGCACCUUCCCUCUAAGCGGCGUCAAGGUGUGAGAGCAUUAUAGUGGCAUGCCGUGAAGGUCCUCCCGCCGCCCGUGCCACUGAGGAUAAACACUGCCACACGCCUCCUGUAAACAAGGCGAUAAGGGGCUCAGGCAGUGGCUCAGGGCGGCUCGGUCUGCCAAAGGGUCGUAUUUUAAAACAUUCUGUCGCCCAAGUUCACAUAUUUGACAUGGCUUUCGUAGGAGCUGUAGGCCUUUCCAGGGGUAGUUUUAUGACCCUGGUUGUAGUUUGACCCUUCUUCUGUGCCAUGAACCUUAAAAAACACUCAUGAAAACCCGAUUGAUCCCCUCUUUGACCUUUAGAAAUAGUUGAUGGGAGAAGCGAUGGUGUCUUAAAAUACGACCCAAAGCCCCUGAGUGCUCGCGGGACCUCAAAACCAUGCGACACCCAAACCGAUAAAUGCGACGUCGUGAAAGCCAGGUGUCGAAGGUGAAAGCGUUCUUGUUUAGUAUGUGUUGCGCAGGUGCUGUUGAAGUUAAAAAUAGGAGUUGUGGAAUUUAUUGAUGCUAAAUAUAUGAGUUUUGUAAUAUGUUGAAGCUAAAUAUAUGGGUUUUGUAAUAUGUUGAAGCUAGUUAUAUGGGUUGCGGAAUAUGCUGAGGCUAAAUAUGUGUUGUAAAUUAUAGGUAGUGAGGUAUUUUGCUGCGUAGGUGAUGUUAAAAGCUAAAAAUCGGAGCUGUGGAAUAUGUUUAAGCUGAAUGUGAGCGUUCUGUAAUGGUUGAAGCUUAAGAUAAAGUUGUGAACCAUAGGUAAAGCCAGGUAUUUUAGUGCUAAAUAUAAGUGUUUUAAAAGUGAAAUGAUAUGCUACCCAGGUGUGUAAGUUAAAGCUAAAGAUAACGUGUUCUGGAAAGUGAAACCGAGGUGUUAUGGUGUCCAGGUGAUGUUAAAGCGGCAAAGAUAAAUACCGUGAAAGGUGAAAGUGAGGUAUUACACUCCCUAAAUCAGUGUUGUGUAAUAUGGAAAAUCUAACCUUGUGAUCGAUGAAGAUAACGUGUCAUGAAAAAACCCAAUGGAGAUAUACCAAUCACGUCCUGCGAAAACACUGUAUUAGAUAACACGUGAUCCUAGUAUCGAUAGUAAGAGCCAUGUGAUAUCAGGUGACCCAGACCAAAGUGACCAAUAUGCUGAAGAUAACGGAGCCAAUCUGAUACUGUAAAUAGUCUGAUAAUUGUAGCAUUGAUGUUUUACGAACCGGAUAAGAGGAAAUGGACUUUGUGUUUACCUACGUCUGUUAUCCUUCAUUAGUUUCAUUGCAAGGUUCUUUCACUCCACCUGGGACACCUAAGCAGUAAAUCGUCGUUGGCCCAAGUUGUUCAGGUGUUAUUUUAUGAACUGGAUCUGCGUGUAUGUUCUUUCUGUUUAUACUUGCGUCUCUUGCCUGUAAUUAGUUUUGUUGCAAGGCGUUUUUACUAUACCUGGAAGACAUGAACACAAACUCGUAAUCCUAGACUCAUGUUAAGAUCCCAGAUUUAUUAAACUCCAAGUGUGUGGUAUUGCUGUUUACCUGCGUCUCUUACCUAUCAUUGCAAGGCGCUUUCAUUAUAUUCCUGGAACGCCUGAGCAGUGAGCACUUAAUCGUUAGCCGAGACUCCUAUUAAGUUAUUCAGGUAUUACCUUUGAGUCGUUAAGUUCUAAAUGUAUGGUCUUUCGGUUUACCUGCGUCUUUACCUUUAAUUAGUUUCAUUGUAAGGCGCUUUCUCUAUAUUCCUGGAACACCUGAGCACUGAAUCGUUAGCUGAGACUCUUAUUAGUUCUUCAGGUGUGCAGGUGUUGUCCCGAUCUUACAUUUACUUAUCUAGCUGUCAGCCCAGAUUCGUAUUACUUUCCCAGGUGUUAUCCCAGGCUCGUAUUUUAAGUUCCUCAGGAGUUAUCAGACUCAUACCAAGCUAUCAAAGUACUAUCCCAGGCUCAGCUAGUUCUGUGAAGGCUAGCAGAUGUUCUUUGCAUGCCCCCAAAAUUAAGGUCACGAGAGUUAAGUGAUUAAGGGAAGUAAUAUGAGUAAGAGGUUCAUGGAAAAAAUAUCAUCAGGGUCAUUAAGCUCUCUCCAAGUUUAAUCCCAGACCAGAAAUAAGUUGUCCACAUGUUAUCCAGGCCUUGUAUUAACCCCACGUGGCGCUCAGUCUCAAAAGUCGAGUGAACUAUUGUUUUGACCCUCACCCUCACGCCCUGGAUUUACGUUGAACCUAGACCAGAUCAAUCCGGAGAAACACACACACACACACACACACACACACACACACACACACACACACACACACACACACACACACACACACACACACACACACACAUACAUACAUACAUACAUACACACACACACACAUACGCCAUCACGCUAGCUAUGUGAAGACUAAUGGAAGGUCCUGCUGGUAUGCCAAAAAAUAAAAUAAAAAGUAAAAAGGUCAUCUGGGUGUAAUGAUCGAGGGAAAGUAAUGCAGUAACAAGUUCGUGGAAAAAUAAUUAAACCUCGAGUAAUAGAUUCAUGGGAAAGCAAUGUAAAUCUCUAGAAACUGAACUAAAAAGAAAGAUCGUGAGUCAUUGUGGACACGAAGCUUCUUGGAAAUGUUUGAUAGGAAAGAGGGAAUUGAUGGAAGUGCGUGGUAGUGGUGGUGGAGGUAGUGGUAUGUUGAUGUUGAUGUUCUUUUUCUUGGUUAUGGUGGUGGUAUUAGUGAUGGUGGUGUUACGUUACGGGUGGUGUUAGUGCUAUGGAUGGCGUCGGUGUUGAUGUUGUUAGUGGUGGUGGUGGUGUUGUUAUUGUUCUUAUUGGUGGUGGUGGUGUGGUGGUGGUGGUAGCGAGCACCAUCUGUCAGGCCCCGGCGGCAACAUCGUGACCCGGGUUGAGGCGCUGGUGCAAUCUACUCCGCCGCCGCCGCCGCCGUCCUUCUUUUCUCCUCAGCUCGUAAUCAUUCAAUCAAGAUAUCCUUCUGCCCUGGGAGAGUCACGAAGCGUCCUCCUCCUCCUCCUUGGACAUCGACUCUUCCUUCCUUUCUUUCUUCCUUCCUUCCUUCCUUCCAUCCUUCUUCCUUUUCUGUUCUUCCUCCUUCCUUCCUUCUUCUUUUCCUGUUACUCCUCCUCCUCCUCGGACAUUGAAUUUUCCUUCCUUUCUUCCUUCCUUCCUUCCUUCCUUCCUUCCUUCCUUUCUUCUUCUUUUCCUGUUCCUCCUUCUCCUCGGACAUUGACUUUUCCUUCCUUCCUUCCUUCCUUCCUUCCUUCCUUUCUUCUUCCUUUCCUGUUCUUCCUCCUCCUUCUCCUCGGACAUUGACUUUUCCUUCCUUCUUCCUUCCUUCCUUCCUUCCUUCCUUCCUUCCUUCUUCCUUUCCUGCUCUUCCUCCUCGGACAUCAGCUCUUCCUUCCUUCCUUCUUUCCUAUCUUCCUUGUUCCUCCUUACCACUUUUCCUUUGCACUUCACUCCUCUCUUCCUUUCCUUUCCCCUCCUUCCUGCUUCUCCUAUUUCCCUUUACUUUCCUCACUCUGCUUUCAUCGCAUUUUCCUUCUUCCCUUUCUUCUUCCCCUCUUCUCUUCUCUCUUUGCCUCACCCUCUUUACUCUGCUUCCCUUUCAUUCCCUCUUUAUGCUUGUUCUCUCUCUUUUUAUCAUCCCCUCUCCUUCUCUUCCCUCUAUACUUCUCUAAAAUUCUCUCUCCACGUUUGUCCUCUCCCUUCCUCCCUUUUCUCUCCCUCCCUUCUCCAUUACUCCCCUUUCACUCCCUCCCCUCUCUGCUUAUUCAUUCCUCAAACAUUUCUCUUUCUCCCCUCCAUUCCUCUCUCUCCUCCCCUUCCUCUCCCUUUUCCCCACCUUCGUCCGUCCCCUUCCUUCCGUCCACCCCCCCCGUCUCUCUCUCUCUCUCUCUCUCUCUCUCUCUCUCUCUCUCUAGGCUGGUUUGUGUCCAUCCACGGUCUCUUAACUCCUCCCUUCCCCUCUCCUCCCCCUCCUCCUCCCCUUCCCUCUCCUCUUUCUCCCCUUCUCCCUUUACUUCCUCUCACCCUGACCCACUUCUUAGCCUCUCCUUGCCCUUUCCUCUCCUCAUACAUCCCUAAGAAUUCUCCCUCUCUUACCCCUCUCUCCCUUCCUCUUCCCAUCUCCCCCUUCUAUCCCCCUUGCAACCCUCUGUUUCUUCCCUCAUCCUUCACCUAUCACGGCUUUCUCUCCCUUCGUUUUCUCCUCUCUUCCUUCAUUCUUCACCUCUUACCCUUUUCUUCUCUUUCCUUCCCCCUUCUCUCCUCCUUCCAUAUUUCUCCAUCAUUUCUCUCUCUCUCUCUCUCUCUCUCUCUCUCUCUCUCUCUCUCUCUCUCUCUCUCUCUCUCUCUCUCUCUUAAUCUCUUUCUCUCCUCAUCGUUCUUCUCUCAUCUCCUUUUUAUCUCCUUAUCCUUUCCCCUUUUAUUCCUCUCUUCCUCCUUUUUUCCUUCCCUUCUCUCUUCCCUUUUAUUCUCUUCACCUCUGCUUACCCAGAUCCUUCCCCUUUCUCUAUCCCUUUCCCCUCUUUCUCCUCUCCUCCUUUCCUUCUCUUUUCCCUUUUAUUCUAUUCACCUCUCUUUAUUCACAUCCUUCCCCUUUCUCACCCCAUCUCUAUCCCCUCCCCCUUCCCUCUCCCCCUUCCCUUCUUCUCCCUUCCCUCUCUCUCACUUCUCUUCACCCUUCCUCUUCCCCUUCCUGAAUCGGGCCGUCAUGGAGUCCUUCAGGGUAUCGAUCUGGGUCCCCUUUUUUAUUUGAUGCCGUCCGCCCAGAAACAGCGGCGGCGGCGGCGGUUGGGACGGUGAUAGUGGUGAUGGUGGUGAUGGUGAUGGUGGUGGUGGAGGAGGAGGAGGAGGGGGAGAAGGCGGCGGUUUAUUGUUGCUUGUUGCUGU